rnacentral:tRNA from 1 species
UAGCGAAGUGGCUAAACGCGGCGGACUGUAAAUCCGCUCCCUCAGGGUUCGGCGGUUCGAAUCCGUC